CUUCUCUUUACUGUCUUCUAUCUUCUUUCAGUGGAACGUUUGUAUUCUCCACCUCAACUUUUCGCCUCCGAAGGAAGACCUGCAAGAAAGUACCUUGGUACAUCAUUUUCCAAUCCCGAAUCUGAAUACCACAGGGUUAAGGUUCAUGAAGACGAGUUCAAUAGACCGUCUGCAAAAGAUAUUUCCUCCAACACACCUGAAUAUGAAGCAAGUAUCGACAGUUUGGGUGAACUUGUUUACCACAUUGACUAUCAUGGAGUGACAACGCAUCCAAAUCCAACGCCCAAACAUCCAUAGCCAUAGGAAACAUAUCAACUUUUAAGAAGAAAUGAACUAUUCAUACAUGUACUGCACUUCAAAUACUCUCUUUUGUUUUACAAUGUAUUAAUUGCUCUUUUUUUCCAUGCUACAAUUAUAUACAAGGUGCAGCUUUGCCCCCAAAA